rnacentral:rRNA from 1 species
GACGAACGCUGGCGGCGUGCUUAACACAUGCAAGUCGAACGGUGACGGAGAGCUUGCUCUCCUGAUCAGUGGCGAACGGGUGAGUAACACGUGGGCAACCAGCCCCAGACUUCGGGAUAACGCUUCGAAAGAGGUGCUAAUACCGGAUACGAGCUCCUUGGGCAUCCUUGGAGUUGGAAAGUUUUUCGGUCUGGGAUGGGCCCGCGGCCUAUCAGCUAGUUGGUGAGGUAACCGGCUCACCAAGGCGACGACGGGUAGCCGGCCUGAGAGGGCGACCGGCCACACUGGGACUGAGACACGGCCCAGACUCCUACGGAGGCAGCAGUGGGGAAUAUUGCGCAAUGGGCGAAAGCCUGACGCAGCAACGCCGCGUGAGGGAUGACGGCCUUC